rnacentral:rRNA from 1 species
CCGGCAAACUAGGUGCCAGAUGCCGCGUGAAGACGUCGGGGGCGAGCGUUAAUCGGAAUUACUGGGCGUAAAGCGUGCGCAGGCGGCUCUGCAAGACAGAUGUGAAAUCCCCGGGCUUAACCUGGGAACUGCAUUUGUGACUGCAUGGCUCGAGUGCGGCAGAGGGGGAUGGAAUUCCGCGUGUAGCAGUGAAAUGCGUAGAUAUGCGGAGGAACACCGAUGGCGAAGGCAAUCCCCUGGGCCUGCACUGACGCUCAUGCACGAAAGCGUGGGGAGCAAACAGGAUUAGAUACCCCGGUC